AGUGAACGCUGGCGGUAGGCCUAACACAUGCAAGUCGAACGGCAGCACAGUAAGAGCUUGCUCUUACGGGUGGCGAGUGGCGGACGGGUGAGGAAUACAUCGGAAUCUACUUUUUCGUGGGGGAUAACGUAGGGAAACUUACGCUAAUACCGCAUACGACCUACGGGUGAAGGCAGGGGAUCUUCGGACCUUUCGCGAUUGAAUGAGCCGAUGUCGGAUUAGCUAGUUGGCGGGGUAAAGGCCCACCAAGGCGACGAUCCGUAGCUGGUCUGAGAGGAUGAUCAGAGACAAUGGAACUGAGAAAAGGUCCAGACUCCUGAGGGAGGCAGCAGUGGGGAAUAUUGGACAAUGGGGGAAAGCGGGAUCCAGCCAUACCGGGUGGGUGAAGAAGGCCUUAGGGUUGUAAAGCCCUUUUGUUGGGAAAGAAAAGAAGCAGGUUAAUACCCGGCUGUUCUGACGGUACCCAAAGAAUAAGCACCGGCUAACUUCGUG
rnacentral:rRNA from 1 species